GUGUCAGCCGCCGCGGUAAUACGAAGGGGGCUAGCGUUGUUCGGAUUUACUGGGCGUAAAGCGCGUGUAGGCGGGCCGUUAAGUUGGGGGUGAAAUCCCGGAGCUCAACUCCGGAACUGCCUCCAAAACUGGCGGCCUGGAGCAGAGGAGAGGCGAGUGGAAUUCCGAGUGUAGAGGUGAAAUUCGUAGAUAUUCGGAGGAACACCAGUGGCGAAGGCGACUCGCUGGACUCUUGCUGACGCUGAGACGCGAAAGCGUGGGGAGCAAACAGGAUUAGAAACCCGAGUAGUCC
rnacentral:rRNA from 1 species